UUCGGAUUGCGGCGACGUAGGCGGUUCGCUGCCCGCGACGUUGUGAGAAGUCCACUGAACCUUAUCAUUUAGAGGAGGAGAAGUCGUAACAAGGUUUCCGUAGGUGACCUGCGGAAGGAUCAUUG
rnacentral:rRNA from 1 species